rnacentral:lncRNA from 1 species
AUGCGCCCACUUCCUCCAUGCUUAUCUCUUUUUUUUUGUCACCCCUUUGUGCUUGUUAUUAGGCUCUCCACAAAAAUUAAAAAGCAAGGGGCAUCCAAGAGUUGGACGCCCCAUGGACUCCUUGUUAGACUAGGACUUAUGACCUAGUCUACCUUAUAUAAAGUUGCCACCCCAUAUGAUAAGAAUAAGGAGUCAAAAAUCACUAGAUUAUUAAUAGAAAAAUCAGAGG